rnacentral:rRNA from 1 species
UGACUGCGUACCUUUUGUAUAAUGGGUCAGCGACUUAUAUUCUGUAGCAAGGUUAACCGAAUAGGGGAGCCGGAGGGAAACCGAGUCUUAACCGGGCGUUAAGUUGCAGGGUAUAGACCCGAAACCCGGUGAUCUAGCCAUGGGCAGGUUGAAGGUUGGGUAACACUAACUGGAGGACCGAACCGACUAAUGUUGAAAAAUUAGCGGAUGACCUGUGGCUGGGGGUGAAAGGCCAAUCAAACCGGGAGAUAGCUGGUUCUCCCCGAAAGCUAUUUAGGUAGCGCCUCGUGAAUUCAUCUCCGGGGGUAGAGCACUGUUUCGGCUAGGGGGCCAUCCCGGCUUACCAACCCGAUGCAAACUGCGAAUACCGGAGAAUGUUAUCACGGGAGACACACGGCGGGUGCUAACGUCCGUCGUGAAGAGGGAAACAACCCAGACCGCCAGCUAAGGUCCCAAAGUCAUGGUUAAGUGGGAAACGAUGUGGGAAGGCCCAGACAGCCAGGAUGUUGGCUUAGAAGCAGCCAUCAUUUAAAGAAAGCGUAAUAGCUCACUGGUCGAGUCGGCCUGCGCGGAAGAUGUAACGGGGCUAAACCAU